rfam:Agrilus planipennis Contig12784, whole genome shotgun sequence.
UCUCUCGUAGCAUAGUUGAUCAGAGCAUUGGUGCGUAAAGUCAAAGGUCCCGGGUUCGAUUCCCGGCGGGGGUG